rnacentral:lncRNA from 1 species
CUCCCAUUUCUGUAAUAGAUUUUUAAAAAAUGGAUCUGCUGAUUACAUCUAAAAGCUCUCCUUCCAACAUCUUCAACUCUGGCUCAGGGCAAGAUGUGGCGGUCCCCGCUCUCGUGCCCGAGGGUUAAAAGUCUCAGGAGCUGGCUCAGGCAGGUCUUCAGGGGCAGGGCUCAUUUCUGGCCCCGAGAGAGGAACUGCAGCCCCUUGCAACCUGCUGCUCCCUAUUUAAAGAGAGCGAGUUGGAGGUGGAGGUGUGGGGGGAGGAGAGGGAGAGAAAUGAACAUGCUUUGGAUGUAGAAUCAAUUUGAGUGUGACUCAAUCCCUCGGCAUUAAACUUUUCCCCUCAAUUAUUUCAAAUUUAUGUCUAUCUGCUGAAGAACCACGGUCUUAGCAUCACCGGAGAGCAAAAUGGGAAGAUACGACCCACACUCAUGGCAUUUAUAUUCAUGAUGAAUCUAUGUAUCAAUCAGAAGCUAGGAAAAGGCUGAGAUGCUGAUUGUCCCCGCCCUGCAUGGAAUCCUGGACCAUUCUGGAAACUGGAGAGCUUGUGAAGUCGUGUCUGCCGAAAAACCACAUCUGGUUCACCACCGCCUCAACAGAUACACAAUGAAAUACAAAGGCCAAUUCUGCGGUGUACACAAUCCGUGUCAGUUUACCCAGAGGAUUCCAGAUGGAAUGAACUCCGCAGACGGGGUUCACGGAGCGCAGGCGAUGCUGGGGGAGGAGCCCUCAUUGUCUCCCUUGGAAAUCGUAAGGCGAAUGUUGGUGCUGGGAGGACAUCUCGCGCUGCAGCGGUGGAGGCGGAGGCGUUUUACACGUUGUUAAGGUAGGAGUGACGGCAUCUGUAUUUAAACCUAAUAGAAAAUAUCAGCCACCGUUUCUUGAAUGUCUGCUCUAGGCCAGAGGCCGGGCUUAAGAAUUUUCUUUGCCUGGACACAGUUCUGUGAGGUCGCCAGAGGUGUGGCUCUUGAGCGUUUUAUAGAUGUGGUAAAGUGACCUUCCCCAAACUGGAGUGGCUUCGUGUUUUUGAUUGUUUACCUGUAUCUCAUUGAUGUUGAGUAUAUGCCCAGGAGUUUGUUUAUUUGUUUGUUUAUUUAUUUGCUUUUUAGGGCCACACCUUUGGAAGUUCCUGGGCUGGGGGCCGAAUGGGAGCUGCCGUGACCCGCCUGCACCAAGCCACAGCAACGCGGGACCUGAGCCGCGUCUGCAGCCUCACACCACAGCUCACAGCAACACUGGAUCCUUAACCCUCUGAGCAAGGCCAGGGAUUGAACCCGCAUCUCGAGGAUACUUGUCGGGCUCAUUACCAGUGAGCCACAACGGGAACUCCUGCCCAGUAGUUGAAUUGCCCUGUCAUACCUGGGUUUGCUGCCAGACCAUUUUCUAAAGUCCUGAUAUUAACCCAAGGAGCAGAGCCACAUUUGGGAGUACGUCUGGCUGGUGCCUGCUCUAAUAUUUUUAGACUCAGCAAUAUAUCCCAUCAAGAUGCCACGUGUAAAGAAUAGGGUCUUUCCAAGAAAACAUUGCUCCUGGCAAAUAGAGAUUUGUGGGGGGGGGGCGAUUGCUUUAUUUUGCAAACAUUUCUAUUAAUAUCUGACAACAACGUACCCACGACGUGGAUAAAUCUCAAGCAAACAGCUCACUGAAUUUUCACAAAGUGAUUACUCCCUUGAGAGCUCCCCCCCAUCAAGGUACAGGGCAUGACUACAUUGAGAUCCUGCUGUAUAGCACAGGGAACUCUGUCUAGUCACUCAUGAUGGAAUACGAUGGAGGAUAAUGUGAGAAAAAGAAUAUGUGCGUGUGUGUGUGUGUGUGUGUGUGUGUGUGUGUGUGUGAGUGAUUGGGUCACUUGGCUAAACAGCAGAACUUGACAGAACAUUGCAACUAUAAUAAAAAAAAUGUAAAAAAAAAUAAAUAAAAAUGU